UCAGACGAUGCGUCAUGCAUAUCAAUAAGCGGAGGAAAAGAAACUAACAAGGAUUCCCUUAGUAACGGCGAGUGAAGCGGGAAGAGCUCAAAUUUGAAAUCUUCAAGGUUUUACCUUGACGAAUUGUAGUUUAAAGAAGUGUUUUCUGUUGAAGUUUUGGUAAAAGUUCUUUGGAAUAGGACAUCAUAGAGGGUGAGAAUCCCGUAUUUGACCAUUAUUUUCAGCUGUGUGAUACACUUUCAAAGAGUCGGAUUGUUUGGGAAUGCAGUCCAAAAUGGGUGGUAAAUUUCAUCUAAAGCUAAAUAUUGGCGAGAGACCGAUAGCGAACAAGUACUGUGAGGGAAAGAUGAAAAGAACUUUGAAAAGAGAGUUAAACAGUACGUGAAAUUGUCAAAAGGGAAGCGUUUGACACCAGUGUUGUUUUCUCGAAAAUCAAUUAAAAAGAGUUGGAUUUUGUGUUGUAUUGACCUUAACAGCUUGCUUCACUCUUUUCCUGCUUUUUUUAAUGCACUUUUCGUUUAACAAGUCAACAUCAGUUUCUUUUGUUGUAAAAGGGUCAUUGGAAGGUGGCUUUCUCUUCGGAGAAAGUGUUUAUAGCCUUUGAUCUCUGCAAUCGGAGAGACUGAGGUCUGCAGCGUAGAUCCUUCGGGGUUAGAUACAUUUGUGCUAAGUUAUAGCCUUUCAUAGACAACUUGUUGACUAUGAUCAGUCAUGUAACUUACUCGCUUAUGCUAUUUUACCUACGCUUAGGAUGUUGAUAUGCAUGACUGAUAU
rnacentral:rRNA from 1 species